rnacentral:rRNA from 1 species
UACAGAGGGUGCGAGCGUUAUUCGGAAUUACUGGGCGUAAAGGGUGCGUAGACGGUUAUUUAAGUCGGGUGUGAAAGCCCCGGGCUCAACCUGGGAAUUGCAUUCGAGACUGAAUAGCUAGGGUACGGUAGAGGGAAGCGGAAUUUCCGGUGUAGCGGUGAAAUGCGUAGAUAUCGGAAGGAACAUCAGUGGCGAAAGCGGCUUCCUGGACCAGUACUGACGUUCAGGCACGAAAGCGUGGGGAGCAAACAGG